GGGGGGGGGGGGGGGGGGGGGGGGGGGGGGGGGGGGGGGGGGGGGGGGGGGGGCCCAGUGUCCCCAGUGUCCCCUGUCACUGUAAGAGUUCCUAAUGUCCCCAGUGUCCCCAAUGUCGCCAGUGUCCCCUGUCACUGUCACUGUCCCCACUAUCCCCACUGUCCCCAGUGUCCCCAGUGUCCCCAGUGUCCCCGUCACCAUCACUGUCCCCGCAGGACGCGCUCCAAGCCAAGCGCCACCAGGAGGCGGCGGACCGCGCCUGGCGCAGCCGGGAGCUGUCACUGUCCCCAGUGUCCCCAGUGUCCCCAGUGUCCCCUGUCAGUGUCCCCUGUCAGUGUCCCCAAUGUCCCGCAGGACGCGCUGCAAGCCAGGCGGCUGCAGGAGGCGGGGGGGGGGGGGGGGGGGGGGGGGGGGGGGGGGGGGGGGGGGGGGGGGGGGGGGGGGGGGGGGGGGGGGGGGGGGGGGGGGGGGGGCCGGGAGCUGCAGCGGCAGCGCCGCUCGCAGGAGCUGCUGCAGGAGCUGCAGCGCGGCCGCCAGGAGCAGGUGACAGCGCGGCGGCAGCAGGUGGCACUGGCCCUGCAGCAGGAGCGCCGCGACUUCCUCAGCUCGCUCAGCGUCCUGCAGGAGCAGCUGGCGCGGGAGCAGGGCGGGGGGGGGGGGGGGGGGGGGGGGGGGGGGGGGGGGGGGGGGGGGGGGGGGGGGGGGGGGGGGGGGGGGGGGGGGGGGGGGGGGGGGGGGGGGGGGGGGGGGGGGGGGGGGGGGGGGGGGGGGGGGGGGGGGGGGGGGGGGGGGGGGGGGGGGGGGGGGGGGGGGGGGGGGAGGAGGGGCAGGAGCGGCUGCGGCGGGAGCGGGAGCGCGCGCGGGGCCUGGCGCGGGAGGGACAGCGGCGCCUGCAGCGCCUCCGGUGGGGCACCCGUGACACCUCCGUGACGCCUGUGUGUCACCUGUGUGUCACCUGUGUGUCACCUGUGUCACUGCUGUGCCACCUCUGUGUCACCUUUGUGUUGCUUGCAUCACCUCUGUGUCACCUGUGUCACCUCUGUGCCGCCUCUGUGUCACCUUUGUGUCACCGCUGGUGUCACCUGUGUCACCUCUGUGUCACCUGUGUCACCUCUGUGCCGCCUCUGUGUCACCUUUGUGUCACCGCUGGUGUCACCUGUGUCACCUCUGUGUCACCUGUGUCACCUCUGUGCCGCCUCUGUGUCACCUUUGUGUCACCGCUGGUGUCACCUGUGUCACCUCUGUGUCACCUGUGUCACCUCUGUGCUGCUGUGCCACCUCUGUGUCACCUUUGUGUUGCUUGCAUCACCUCUGUGUCACCUGUGUCAC
rnacentral:lncRNA from 12 species